rnacentral:tRNA from 1 species
UCCCUGGUGGCUCAGACAGUAAAGAAUCUGCCUGCAAUGCAGAAGACCCAGGUUCAAUCCCUGGAUUGGGAA